rnacentral:tRNA from 1 species
CAAGAGGUAGUUUUAUAAAAAAAAUAUUAA